rnacentral:rRNA from 1 species
GACGAACGCUGGCGGCGUGCUUAACACAUGCAAGUCGAACGGAAAGGCCCUGCUGUUGUGGGGUGCUCGAGUGGCGAACGGGUGAGUAACACGUGAGUAACCUGCCCUUGACUUUGGGAUAACUUCAGGAAAAUGGGGCUCAUACCGGAUAGGAGCUCCUGCUGCAUGGUGGGGGUUGGAAAGUUUCGGCGGUUGGGGAUGGACUCGCGGCUUAUGCGCUUGUUGGUGGGGUAGUGGCUUACCAAGGCUUUGACGGGUAGCCGGCCUGAGAGGGUGACCGGCGACAUGGGGACUGAGAGACGGCCCAGACUCCUACGGGAGGCAGCAGUGGGGAAUAUUGCACAAUGGGCGGAAGCCUGAUGCAGCAACGCUGCGUGCGGGAUGACGGCCUUCGGGUUGUAAACCGCUUUCGCCUGUGACGAAGCGUGAGUGACGGUAAUGGGUAAAGAAGCACCGGCUAACUACGUG